UACGUAGGUGACCAGCGUUGUCCGGAUUUACUGGGCGGAAAGAGCGCGCAGGCGGUCGUUCAAGUCGAGUGUGAAAGCCCCCGGCUCAACUGGGGAGGGUCACUCGAUACUGAUCGACUGGAAGGCAGGAGAGGGAAGCGGAAUUCCCGGUGUAGUGGUGAAAUGCGUAGAUAUCGGGAGGAACACCAGUGGCGAAGGCGGCUUCCUGGCCUGUUCUUGACGCUGAGGCGCGAAAGCUAGGGGAGCAAACGGG
rnacentral:rRNA from 1 species